rnacentral:rRNA from 1 species
CCUACGGGAGGCAGCAGUGAGGAAUAUUGGUCAAUGGGCGCGAGCCUGAACCAGCCAAGUAGCGUGAAGGAUGACUGCCCUACGGGUUGUAAACUUCUUUUAUAAAGGAAUAAAGUGCGGCACGUGUGCCGUUUUGUAUGUACUUUAUGAAUAAGGAUCGGCUAACUCCGUGCCAGCAGCCGCGGUAAUACGGAGGAUCCGAGGGGUUUCCGGUUUUAUUGGGUUUAAAGGGAGCGUAGAUGGGUUGUUAAGUCAGUUGUGAAAGUUUGCGGCUCAACCGUAAAAUUGCAAUUGAUACUGGCAGCCUUGAGUACAGUUGAGGUAGGCGGAAUUCGUGGUGUAGCGGUGAAAUGCUUAGAUAUCACGAAGAACUCCGAUUGCGAAGGCAGCUUACUAACCUGCCACUGACAUUGAUGCUCGAAAGUGUGGGUAUCAAACAGGAUUAGAUACCCCUGUAGUC